rnacentral:misc_RNA from 1 species
CGGGGAACCUGUAGGAUCUCUUCUUACGGCAGCCUCCUCACUGUCCCAUGUCUAAAACCUGCUGCUUGGUUUGCAUGUACAUCAUUGCUUAUGUGACGUGAUUGACCAUUUUGUAUGUGCCAGAUUUGACUACUAAAAAAUGUGUUCCUUGCAACUCAAACGAUUUGCGACCAAUGACCGAGGAUGCAGCAAAACGUUUGAUUCGAG